CUGCUUCUGGAAUCAGCUCUAAGGACACCACACCUCCUAAUCCUUCCCAAACAGUCCCACCAACUGGGACCAGAUGUUAAAGAACAGGAGCCUAUGGUCAUUGUCAUUCAGGUAGGUCUUCUGGGAAAGCAGCAAGUGCCUUUAACCAAUACCAUUCUUCAGUCCCCAAAUUCAUUUUCUUUAAAUUUUGCUUUAAGUUCCAAUUACAGUGUUUUGAACGUCAUAGUAUUUAAUCAAAGUCAUCUUAAUACCUCUGCUUUUGGACUGAAAGUUACUGGUAUGAUUAAUUGGCAUCUCGGUUGCUAAGAGAUUAGCUU
rnacentral:lncRNA from 1 species